rnacentral:rRNA from 1 species
CCUACGGGAGGCAGCAGUGGGGAAUCGUUGCACAAUGGAGGAAACUCUGAUGCAGCGAUGCCGCGUGAGUGAAGAAGGCCUUUGGGUUGUAAAGCUCUUUUGUAGGGGAAGAUAAUGACUGUACCCUAAGAAUAAGGUCCGGCUAACUUCGUGCCAGCAGCCGCGGUAAUACGAAGGGACCUAGCGUAGUUCGGAAUUACUGGGCGUAAAGCGCGCGUAGGCCGUUGAGUUAGUUAAUUGUGAAAUCCCAAAGCUUAACUUUGGAACUGCAAUUAAAACUGCUCGACUAGAGUUUGAUAGAGGAAAGCGGAAUACAUAGUGUAGAGGUGAAAUUCGUAGAUAUUAUGUAGAACACCAGUUGCGAAGGCGGCUUUCUGGAUCAACACUGACGCUGAGGCGCGAAAGUAUGGGUAGCAAAGAGGAUUAGAUACCCUCGUAGUCCAUACCAUAAACGAUGAUUGCUAGAUGUUGGAAAUUUAUUUUACAGUAUCGCAGCUAACGCAUUAAAGCAAAUCCGCCUGGGGAGUACGACCGCAAGGUUAAAACUCAAAAGGAAUUGACGG